rnacentral:rRNA from 1 species
AUUGAACGCUGGCGGCAGGCCUAACACAUGCAAGUCGAGCGGAUGAAGGGAGCUUGUUCCUGGAUUCAGCGGCGGACGGGUGAGUAAUGCCUAGGAAUCUGCCUGGUAGUGGGGGAUAACGUCCUGAAACGGGCGCUAAUACCGCAUACGUCCUGAUGGAGAUAGUUGGGGAUCUUCGGACCUCACGCUAUCAGAUGAGCCUAGGUCGGAUUAGCUAGUUGGUGGGGUAAAGGCCUACCAAGGCGACGAUCCGUAACUGGUCGGAGAGGAUGAUCAGUCACACUAGAACUGAGCCACGGUCAAGAGUCCUACGGGAGGCAGCAGUGGGGAAUAUUGGACAGUGGGCGAGAGCAUGAUACAGCCAUGCCACGUGUGUGGAGGAGGUCUUCGGAUUGUAAAGCACUUUAAGUUGGGAGGAAGGGCAGUAAGUUAAUACCUUGCUGUUUUGACGUUACCAACAGAAUAAGCACCGGCUAACUUCGUG